GUUGGCCAGGAUGGUCUCUAUCUCUUGACCUCGUGAUCCACCCGCCUCGGCCUCCAAAAGUGCUGGGAUUACAGGCGUGAGCCACCACGCCCGGCCAGGCAUGAAUUUUUAUCCAAUGAAUAUACAUCCUGGAUUCACAUAUGGAACUGUGAAUCCUAUACUAUUAUACUGCCUCCUUUGAGUCUUUGCAGAGAAACAGUGCCUAAUAAGAUUUAUAAAGUCAAAGAGACUCCGUAGUAUAUCACAGCAGUGGUUGUAGCUCAAACCAUGAAUCCUUUUCUUUUUCUUACACACAGUGAUGGCUUUCCUGGCUCAGCGUGGAGAGGGCGGUGGGCAUGGGAGAAUUGAGCAUAACCUCAGCAUCAAGCAUCUCCUCAAGCUCUGAUGAGGAAAACUCCAGGCCACCAUUUUCCCUGCUUGUCAGCCUUCUUCUCCACCAAAUUGCACUAUUCUACAUCAUGGCUCAGCUCUUGAGGGACUUUGCUGUUGGGUAAGUCAAUUUCUCUAGUAAUAAAACCACAUGCCUUCAUUUUUACUAGAAAUUAAGCCCUAAACUUUAUAAUUUGUCCCUUCAUUAUCUUGCUUUUACUGAAAUUAAAUAAUGAAUAAAAGGGUCACCACAGGAUGUGCAGAGACCAGAAAGAUCUUUCUGAUAUUGGGUAUAUCAGAAGUUGAGACAAGACUAAUAACUUAGAUAUUUUGCUAACAACCUUCUAGAAACUAUUGGUCCAGUAGGCUUAUUUCUAUGUCCAAAAAUAUCCUUAUUAAAGUUCAGAAUAUUUGGUUGGGCAAGCCACUAUCAAUAUUUUAAAUUUAGCAAUAUAACAACUUUAAAAGUAGGAUAAUUUACUGUAUUGUUAGCAUCAUUGUUAACAUACCCACAAAAUUCCAUCUUUACAUCAUUUAUACGAUCCACAGAGAAGAAGAGGCCUGCCUUUCAGUACUUGAUCAAACCUGGAGCAAACCCAAAAGCAUAAAUGUUUUAUUGCUGAGGUAACUUUGGAUAUUCAUGUUAACAAUAUUUUAAGAAUAAUUCAACAAUUUAUUUAAUAAACAUGAUUUUUAAGAAAAUGUAAAUUUUGUCCAAGCAGUUCAGUUUAAUGAAUGAAUAAUCAUGAUCACAUGCAUCAAAAUAUUUAGAACAGCUGUAAUUUCAAAUAUACUUUUUAAAACUGUUUAUAUUUGCCAGACUUCAUGCUAGAUCAUUCCUGGAAAAUAUAAUUACUGGGCUUGCAAUAAAAAAAAAAAGGUUGGAUGCUAAAUUUAAAUUGUAGCAUUUCAUAUAUUUAUUUAUUUGUUUAUUCAAUAAUUUAACAUGUUUAUUCACUGUUUAUUAUAUUGCUAGCAGUGCGUUGAGUUCUGGGGGUAUAAUGUUGAAUGUACAAAAUAAAUUUCCUACCCUUUUUGAACUUAGUUUUUAUAAGAACAAUCAAGACUGCAGCCUGCAUUUCCACAGUCAUGUGCAUAGACUGAGGGUUCCUUGAGCUGUGUGCUUUUGCAGCAUGUCCAACUGCAUGCUGUGGGUCUGAAGAAAGAUAUUUAUUCCAGUUAGGGAUAAUUUGAAUAAAUCUAUGUAGUACAGGGGACAUAAUAACAAAUUUUAUUUGGCAUAAAUUAGAUAUUCGGGGCUUUUCAAGGCAGUAGGCAGAGAAUAAAACAUGAAUUAAUUUAUCCUACUCACAGGCCAGGAAACUGUUGGUACUGAGAAGAUAAAUAAAAUUCCAACUGAUGACAAUUGAUCUGGAACCAGACCUCAUAAGGCUUGACUCCCACCUCAUAAGUUCUGAAGCAGAGUCUCGCUCUAUCUACCAGGCUGGAGUGCAGUGAUAUGAUCUCGGCUCACUGCAACCUCCACCUCCCAGUUCAAGCUAUUCUCAUAUCUCAGCUUCCUGAGUAGCUGGGAUUAUAGGCACCUGCCACCAUGGCUGGCUAAUUUUUGCAUUUUUAGUAGAAAUGGGUUUUCACCAUGUUGGCCAGCUGGUCUUGAACUCCUGACCUUAUGAGAUCUGCCCACCUCGACCUUCCAAAGUGUUAGGAUUAUAGGCAUGAGCCACUGUGCCUGGUCCCCACCUGGCUCAUUAUUUGACUUCAUAAUGUUUAAGACCUUGGUGGCAUUAUUUCAGGUGAAGUGAAAUUGUAGUUAUCUAUGGAAUACAGGGUCAGAGAAAGAUGAAUAAAUAAACUUCUCAGAUAAUUUAAAAAUCUCACUGCAUUCAUUUCUAUUGCCUCUACCACCAAAGUAUAUCUAUUAGUAGCUCAAAUAGUAAGCUUAAAUUCACCUCUGAUCUUUCUGUUCACCUCAAGUGAGAGUACAAAUGGGCAAUUGGAGAGAAGAGGAGGAACAAAGCUCUUGGGCAAUACAUUCUAUGUGAACUGACAAGGAAGCCACAUCCUCCUCCACAGCCCCAUCCGCUUGCUUGGAAUUCUGAAAGAGCACUUUUAGAAUUACAAGUGUGAGGGCUCUUCUUCUCUUAAGUAUUGAUGUUUUAAAUGAUUAUGGCUAUAGUAUCUGUUUG
ensembl:lncRNA